rnacentral:rRNA from 1 species
GACGACGCUGGCGGCGUGCCUAACACAUGCAAGUCGAACGAAGCAUAGCAAUAUGCUUAGUGGCGGACGGGUGAGUAACGCGUGAACAAUCUGCCCUGUACAAAGGAAUAGCCUCGGGAAACCGGGAUUAAAACCGUAUGACACUUUAGUAUCGCAUGAUAAGAAAGUCAAAUCGAAUAGAGGUAUGGGAUGAGUUCGCGUCUGAUUAGCUGGUUGGCGGGGUAACGGCCCACCAAGGCGACGAUCAGUAGCCGGCCUGAGAGGGUGAACGGCCACACUGGAACUGAGACACGGUCCAGACUCCUACGGGAGGCAGCAGUGGGGAAUAUUGCACAAUGGAGGGAACUCUGAUGCAGCGACGCCGCGUGAGUGAAGAAGGUCUUCGGAUCGUAAAACUCUGUCCUUGGUGAAGAAAAGGACGGUAGCCAAGGAGGAAGCCCCGGCUAACUACGUG